GGCAGGGGCUGUCAGGGCCAUGGUUCCUGCCGUGGAUGGGGUCCAGCUGUCAGGCAGGGGUAGUCCAGGCAGUUGGUGGUCUCUGGUGGGCCAAGUGGCUCCCCCUUGGGGCCUCAGUGUCGCCCCUGCCCCAGGCAGUGCUGCUGGGCUGGCCCAGAGACUCCAGGCGGGGCAGCCCAGCGGAGGUGGAAGCACCUGAGAACCGACCCCAGCCCAUCUGGCGGCCCUAGGCUGGGCUUUGCAGCAGAGAGAGCGAGAGAGAGAGCACAAGCAAAGGGAGAGGGAGGAGCGGGAGCUCCAUGUGGGACUUGAUCCCAGGACCCUGAGAUCAUGAUCUGAGCCUGAGGCAGACGCUUCACGAUGGAGCCCCAGGAGCCCCUAGAACACACCAUUUUGGGAGACAGCAUCCUUCAGAGGCAGCAGAGCCGGUUGUGUCCACCUGGGCCCCUUUCCCAGACUUCCUGAGCCACCCGACUUCUGGCAGUCCCUCAACCUUCCAAAAAUAGUCCAACCUCAGGACCUUUGCAUCUGCUGUUCUUGCUAAGGAUGCUUCUCCCUGCUCAGGAGCGGCCCUGAGCCACCCAGAGCCGGCUCAGCUCUGGUGUCAAUGGUAGGAGAGCCCCUGGGCGGUUACCAGGGCAGGGCGCUGCGCCGGGGUGAGCGGGGUCGGAGCGAGAGG